rnacentral:rRNA from 1 species
GUAAAUAAGAUACCCCGGGGUAGUCCCACGCCGGUAAAACGAUAGUCAACUAGCCGUUGGGAAAUCCUUUGGAGAUUUUUAGUGGCGCAGCUAAACGCAUUAAGUUGACCGCCUGGGGAGGUACGGCCGCAAGGUUAAAACUCAAAUGAAUUGACGGGGGCCCGGCGACAAGCGGUGGAGCGAUGUGGUUUAAUUCGAAGCAACGCGAAGAACCUUACCAGGCCUUGACAUGCAGAGAACUUUCCAGAGAUGGGAUUGGUGCCGUUCGGGAACUCUGGACACAGGUGCUGCAUGGCUGUCGUCAGCUUCGUGUCGUGAGAUGUUGGGUUAAGUCCCGUUAACGAGCGCAACCCUUGUCCUUAGUUACCAGCACGGUUAUGGUGGGCACUCGUAAGGAGACUGGCCGGUGACAACCGGAGGAAGGUGGGAUGACGUCAAGUCAUCAUGGCCCUUAACGGCCUGGGGUCUACACGACGUUGCUACGAAUGGGUCGGUAACNGGUAGGGUUNCCGAAGGCCGCGAACGGUGGAAGGUCUAAGUCCUCGAACGAAAACCGUAUCGGUACGUCCGGAUCGCAGUUCUGGACUAAC